AGAGAGAGACAUGCGCGCAUAUCAAUAAGCGGAGGAAAAGAAACUAACAAGGAUUCCCCUAGUAACGGCGAGUGAAGCGGGAAGAGCUCAAAUUUGAAAUCUUAAAGGGCUUCCCUUUACGAAUUGUAGUUUAAAGAAGUGUUUUCUGUUGAGGUUUUGGUAAAAGUUCUUUGGAAUAGGACAUCAUAGAGGGUGAGAAUCCCGUAUUUGACCUUUACUUUCAACUUUGUGAUACACUUUCAAAGAGUCGGAUUGUUUGGGAAUGCAGUCCAAAAUGGGUGGUAAAUUUCAUCUAAAGCUAAAUAUCGGCGAGAGACCGAUAGCGAACAAGUACCGUGAGGGAAAGAUGAAAAGAACUUUGAAAAGAGAGUUAAACAGUACGUGAAAUUGUCAAAAGGGAAGCGUUUGACACCAGUGUUGUUUUUCUGAAAUCAAUUAAAGAACUGUUUAUGCUAAGUUGUUUAGACUUUAUCAGCUAACUGUUUAGUUUUGAGCUUUUCUUUAAUGCACUUUUCAGUUAACAAGUCAACAUCAAUUUCUUUUGCUGUAAAAAAGCUUGAGGAAGGUGGCUUGAGAUUCGUCUUAAGUGUUUAUAGCCUCUUGCCUAUGCAGUCGGAGAGAUUGAGGUCUGCAGCGUAGAUCCUUCGGGGCUAAAUGCAUUUGUGCUAAGUUAUAGCAUUUUAUAGACAACUUGUUGACUAUGAUUAGUCAUUGUAGCUUACUCGCUUAUGUUAUUUUACCUACGCUUAGGAUGUUGAGCGCAUGUCUCUCUCU
rnacentral:rRNA from 1 species